rnacentral:rRNA from 1 species
GGAUGAACGCUGGCGGCGUGCUUAACACAUGCAAGUCGAACGGAAAGGCCAGUGCUUGCACUGGUACUCGAGUGGCGAACGGGUGAGUAACACGUGGGUGAUCUGCCCUGUACUUCGGGAUAAGCUUGGGAAACUGGGUCUAAUACCGGAUAGGACAACUUUUUGGAUAUUGUUGUGGAAAGCUUUUGCGGUAUGGGAUGAGCUCGCGGCCUAUCAGCUUGUUGGUGGGGUAAUGGCCUACCAAGGCGUCGACGGGUAGCCGRCCUGAGAGGGUGUACGGCCACAUUGGGACUGAGAUACGGCCCAGACUCCUACGGGAGGCAGCAGUGGGGAAUAUUGCACAAUGGGCGCAAGCCUGAUGCAGCGACGCCGCGUGGGGGAUGAAGGCCUUCGGGUUGUAAACUCCUUUCGCUAGGGACGAAGCGCAAGUGACGGUACCUGGAGAAGAAGCACCGGCUAACUACGU